rnacentral:ncRNA from 1 species
AAAGACUUAGUCCUAACCUUACAGUUGGUUUUUACCAAACAUAUACAUGCAAGUAUCCGCACUCCAGUGUAAAUGCCCCAACACUCUUUCACCAAGACAUAGGGAGCAGGUAUCAGGCACACCCUAAACCGUAGCCCAAAACACCUUGCUAAGCCACACCCCCACGGGUAUUCAGCAGUAAUUAACAUUAAGCAAUAAGUGAAAACUUGACUUAGUUAUAGUAAACCAAGGGUUGGUAAAUCUUGUGCCAGCCACCGCGGUCAUACAAGAGACCCAAAUUAACUGUCCAUCCGGCGUAAAGAGUGGCAAGAUGUUAUCCCCCCAACUAGGAUCAAAGUGCAACUAAGCUGUCAUAAGCCCAAGGCGCACCUAAACCCACCCCAAGAUCCUAGCUUCUACGACUAAUUUCAACCCACGAAAGCUAGGACACAAACUGGGAUUAGAUACCCCACUAUGCCUAGCCCUAAAUCUAGAUACUUCCCCUACCAAAGUACUCGCCCGAGAACUACGAGCACAAACGCUUAAAACUCUAAGGACUUGGCGGUGUCCCAAACCCACCUAGAGGAGCCUGUUCUAUAACCGAUAACCCACGAUGCACCCAACCACCUCUUGCUAAUGCAGCCUACAUACCGCCGUCGCCAGCUCACCUCCCCUGAGAGUUCCACAGUGAGCUCAAUAGUCCCCUCCCCACUAACAAGACAGGUCAAGGUAUAGCCUAUGAGGUGGAAGAAAUGGGCUACAUUUCCUAACAUAGGACACACGGAAAAGGGCGUGAAACCGCCCCUAGAAGGAGGAUUUAGCAGUAAAGCUGAACAAUAGAGUCUACUUUAAACUGGCUCUGGGAUACGUACAUACCGCCCGUCACCCUCUUCACAGGCCUAUCCACCCACAUAAGUAAUCAACUCCACAAUAAGCCAAAGACGAGGCAAGUCGUAACAAGGUAAGUGUACCGGAAGGUGCACUUAGAACAU